ensembl:lncRNA
GGACCCCUGAUCUUGUGGCGUGCCACCGCGCGAGGCCGAGGAGCUCCCGCAGACCAGUGGGCGUGGCGUCCUUGUCGCGGCUCUGUGGAGACCUGGCGAUGGAGAGCAGCAUGGCGGACCCCUGAUCUUGUGGCGUGCCACCGCGCGAGGCCGAGGAGCUCCCGCAGACCAGUGGGCGUGGCGUCCUUGUCGCGGCUCUGUGGAGACCUGGCGAUGGUGAGCGGCCCCUGUCCUCAGUGGUGGAGAACUCGCCCUUGGGGCGCUCGUCGUCCGGAGCCCCGGGCCACCCCGCUUCUCGCGGGCUUUGGCCC